AACAGCUAGAGUUUGAUCCGUGGCUCAGGAUGAACGUUGGCGGCGUGCCUAAUACAUGCAAGUCGAACGAAGACUGUAGUAAUACUGUCUUAGUGGCGAACGGGUGAGUAACGCGUGGGUGACCUGCCCCGAAGUGUGGGAUAACAGUUCGAAAGGAUUGCUAAAUACUGCAUAAUAUCCAAGAGAUUAGACGCUUUUGGAUUAAAGGAGUAAUUCGCUUCGGGAGGGGCCCGCGUCCCAUCAGCUAGUUGGUAAGGUAAUGGCCUUACCAAGGCAUGACGGGUAGGGGACCUGAGAGGGUCGGCCCCCCACAAUGGAACUGAAACACGGUCCAUACACCUACGGGUGGCAGCAGUAGGGAAUAUUAAGAAAUGGACGAAAGUCUGAUCUAGCAACACCGCGUGUGCGAAGAAGGCCUUCGGGUCGUAAAGCACUUUUGGAAGGAAUAGGAAGGAAUGUACUUCCAGAAUAAGUCUCGGCUAACUACGUGCC
rnacentral:rRNA from 1 species